UACCUACUCCCUCCGUUCCGAAUUACUUGUCGCAGAAAUGGAUGUAUCUAGAACUAAAAAAUGUCUAGAUAUAUUCAUUUCUACGACGAGUAAUUCCGAAUGGAGGGAGUAUAUG
rnacentral:pre_miRNA from 1 species